rnacentral:lncRNA from 1 species
AUGACACAAUUUCACAUUGAAUAAAACACAUUGUUUCAAUGAAUAUAACAAAUUUUUUAAUGAACAGAAUACUAUAUUGCAAAUUUGCAAUGAACAAAAUACAAUUCUUUAAUGAAUAAAAUACAUUUUUCAAUGGACAUAAAUCAAGAUGGAAAAUCUCUGCAAUGCAUAAUCAAGAUCUAGGCUCUGCCGCUUAUGUUCAGUCGAGGAUAUAGGAGAUGAUGGAGGUGAGUUCGAGAGGGAGAUGGCUGGGACGAAGGCAGUGGUCGUGGCUUCGCCUAUGGCGGCAGCGGCGGCGGCGGUGGCGGCGUGAAAGCGAUGGUCGUGCCUUCGCUGGGGUAGAAGGGGGCGGCGCUCUGUGCGUGCGUGCGUGUGUGUAUGUUACUGUGUGCUGGUGUGUGUGGGUUUCAUGAGGAAGAUGAAUCCUUAAUAUUCGAACUAACCACUCAAAGAUGAUGAGACGGGAAACGAAAAUCAUGGAGGAAAUUUGGGAUACAAAAUGAUGAAAGACGUGUGCUCUUACGGAAUCAUAAGACCUCAUUCUUCAAGUUACUGUUUUAGCCUUUAGUAAGAAUAAAAUACAUGUUUAAUGAAUAUUCAGAAUUUUUAAAUUUGAAAUCAUUUUCAAUAAUAACCGUUAGAUGCGUUAAAUCCAACGCUAUAUAAUAAUUCUUCAUUCUCUCUCUUAUACU